rnacentral:rRNA from 1 species
GUAACACGUAUCCAACCUUCCGUUUACUCAGGGAUAGACCUUUCGAAAAGAAAGAUUAAUACCUGAUAGUAUGGUGAGAUUGCAUGAUAACACCAUUAAAGAUUUAUUGGUAAACGAUGGGGGAUGCGUUCCAUUAGGUAGUAGGCGGGGUAACGGCCCACCUAGCCUGCGAUGGAUAGGGGUUCUGAGAGGAAGGUCCCCCACAUUGGAACUGAGACACGGUCCAAACUCCUACGGGAGGCAGCAGUGAGGAAUAUUGGUCAAUGGGCGAGAGCCUGAACCAGCCAAGUAGCGUGAAGGAUGAAGGUCCUACGGAUUGUAAACUUCUUUUAUACGGGAAUAAAGUUUCCUACGUGUAGGAUUUUGUAUGUACCGUAUGAAUAAGCAUCGGCUAACUCCGUG